GCUUGUCUCAAAGAUUAAGCCAUGCAUGUCUAAGUAUAAACGAUUUUAUACGUGAAACUGCGAAUGGCUCAUUAUAUCAGUUAUAGUUUAUUUGAUGGUCCUUACUAUUUGGAUAACCGUAGUAAUUCUAGAGCUAAUACAUGCGAAAAGACCCGACUUUUUGGAAGGGUUGUAUUUAUUAGAUACAAAACCAAUGCGGAGCAAUCCGGUUUUUGGCGAGUCAUAAUAACUUUGCGGAUCGCAUGGCCUUGCGCCGGCGAUGAAUCAUUCAAAUUUCUGCCCUAUCAACUUUCGAUGGUAAGGUAUUGGCCUACCAUGGUUACCACGGGUAACGGGGAAUUAGGGUUCGGUUCCGGAGAGGGGGCCUGAGAAAUGGCCACCACAUCCAAGGAAGGCAGCAGG
rnacentral:rRNA from 1 species